CCUGGUCCGCCUAGCGGGCCGACUUCCUUGGGACACAGGAAAAGGCCUGGCUAGGCGCAAAGCAUCUCCCAGACGUCCUUGAAGUCAUACCACUCCCUUCUCCAGCACAGCGAUUGUACCUGGAAGACAAAAACAGAGACACCACACCGACCUGCCACAACAACAGGUAAAAUGGCUCCCUAUAUACUCCCCUUACCCAAAAGCCC